rnacentral:rRNA from 1 species
UACGUAGGGUGCAAGCGUUAAUCGGAAUUACUGGGCGUAAAGCGUGCGCAGGCGGUUCGCUAAGUCCGAUGUGAAAUCCCCGGGCUUAACCUGGGAACUGCAUUGGUGACUGGCGGGCUAGAGUAUGGCAGAGGGGGGUAGAAUUCCACGUGUAGCAGUGAAAUGCGUAGAGAUGUGGAGGAAUACCGAUGGCGAAGGCAGCCCCCUGGGCCAAUACUGACGCUCAUGCACGAAAGCGUGGGGAGCAAACAGG